AUGGAGGACGUAUCUCUUGACAAAUUUCGUGAUGCCACUGAUACAGCUUUCCCACAGACAUGGCUGAAACUGUGGUUUGCGUCUAUCUGGAGUUCUAAUGCCAGUUACAUUAUCUUCAACACUUUCAAUUUUAAUGAAAAGAGGAGAAAUAGCAGCCCUGUAGGAUCAUUUCAAGGGGAUUCUCAUCCAAUAUAAAGACAAUAGCAGAAGACGCUGAUGUGUAAAUUGUGGCCAAGAGGAAGCAAAUGGAUGUAAAAUGCUGCUUGCAACUUUUGAUUCAGUUUGUUGUGAACAUCUUUGUCUGGAAAAAAAAUCAAGGUAAGAAGUAAAAUUUUUCAAGCCUAUUGGGUGUUUCCUACAUAUCUUGGAU
rnacentral:lncRNA from 1 species